GAUGGCCCACCAAGGCUUCGACGGGUAGCCGGCCUGAGAGGGCGACCGGCCACAUUGGGACUGAGAUACGGCCCAGACUCCUACGGGAGGCAGCAGUGGGGAAUAUUGCGCAAUGGGCGAAAGCCUGACGCAGCGACGCCGCGUGCGGGAUGGAGGCCUUCGGGUUGUAAACCGCUUUUAUCGGGGAGCAAGCGAGAGUGAGUGUACCCGUUGAAUAAGCACCGGCUAACUAC
rnacentral:rRNA from 1 species